rnacentral:rRNA from 1 species
GCUUGACAUCCUUUUGACCGAUGCCUAAUCGCAUUUUUCCCUUCGGGGACAGAAGUGACAGGUGGUGCAUGGUUGUCCUCAGCUCGUGUCGUGAGAUGUUGGGUUAAGUCCCGCAACGAGCGCAACCCUUGCCUUUAGUUGCCAGCAUUAAGUUGGGCACUCUAGAGGGACUGCCAGGGAUAACCUGGAGGAAGGUGGGGAUGACGUCAAAUCAUCAUGCCCCUUAUGCUUAGGGCUACACACGUGCUACAAUGGGUGGUACAGAGGGCAGCCAAGUCGUGAGGCGGAGCUAAUCCCUUAAAGCCAUUCUCAGUUCGGAUUGUAGGCUGAAACUCGCCUACAUGAAGCUGGAGUUACUAGUAAUCGCAAAUCAAAAUGCUGCGGUGAAUGCGUUCCCGGGUCUUGUACACACCG